rnacentral:lncRNA from 1 species
CUAACGCUCCGAGCGCCAGAGCCGCCCGGGCGCAGCCCGCCUCUGCGCGCCCGCGACCCACGUGACGUUGACUUUUGCUGAUGGAGCCUCUCUGAAGGGCAAAUUCAAAGUACAGCUGGGUGCUGCAGCACUGGAGUGCGAACUUGUGGCUGUGGUUAUGAAGGAGCCUCGUCAGCUAUGCCUUUAGCCCCUGGUGAAGCAGUGCCAGUCACACUUUGCCAGUCAAACGGAGAGGCAGCAGUAGUAAGACCAGACCAAAUCAAACCAAACCAAGCAAACCACGGGGAAUGGAGGUCAUGUGAGCACACAGCAUAAAGGCAGCUGCCCACAAGCCAGGAAGAGAAGCAUCAUCAGAAACCGACCAUACUGGCUUCCUGAUCUCAGACUUUCAGCCUCCAGAAUGAGAUGGGGGUGUGAAAGGAAAUGAAAUCUUGGGACCCUAAACUCAUUAAGCCAAAGGGAAAAGCUGGGCCGAGAACUGGAUGAUGCAACCUGCUUCCACCUUUUUGCUUCCUAAAUAAGAUGGCUACA